GUUUAGCUCUGUUUGCAACCCAGACAAUAGUCCUGUCUUGAAUCUCUUUAUACCAAAUACCGAUAUACCAUUUGUCUGAAUUUGCACCGCCUGGAGAGAAAAAGCCUAAUUCAAAGAGUUGAUCGGAAGAUACUAAGGUUUGAUCUUUGGUUAAAGACUGUGUUGGGGUGAUUGUAUCAGUGGGUAUAGCAAGAAUUGGAUGAAGAAAUUGAGAAAUCAAAAUCAAGAACAAGAAUUGGUGAAAGUAGUAAUCUUUGGUGUUUCUCAUUGUGUAAUUUAAG
rnacentral:misc_RNA from 1 species